UACGAAGGGGGCUAGCGUUGCUCGGAAUCACUGGGCGUAAAGAGUGUGUAGGCGGUGCUCCAAGUCUGGUGUGAAAUCUCCCGGCUUAACUGGGAGGGUGCAUUAGAAACUGGAAUGCUAGAGGAUGGGAGAGGUAAGCGGAAUUCCUGGUGUAGCGGUGAAAUGCGUAGAUAUCAGGAGGAACACCUGUGGUGUAGACAGCUUACUGGACCAUUUCUGACGCUGAAACACGAAAGCGUGGGUAGCAAACAGG
rnacentral:rRNA from 1 species